UUUAUACAAACCGUUUACCCAAUAGGUGAAAGUUGAAAGCAUGUCUGAUUUUAAAUCAGUUUUGGUACAAGUUGUGUAUUUUGGCGAUCGUACAUGUGACUAUGAGGUUACAUUUCAGUCUUCUUUACGAGGGGAACCUGACCUUAUGAUGUAAGAGCAAAAGUUGUGCUCUAAAUCCAAAGAAAUAAAAGAUUUCGUUGGCAAAGGAGGAGCAUGUGAAUUUUUCAAAGAAAGUGAAAUUUUGCCUGGUCGUUGGACCCAAUUUGGUGAUUACUCACCAGUGAAGCACAAAGUAACGAUAAGGUGUACCCUGGGGAAUAAAA